rnacentral:rRNA from 1 species
GGUUAAGCGACUAAGCGUACACGGUGGAUGCCCUGGCAGUCAGAGGCGAUGAAGGACGUGCUAAUCUGCGAUAAGCGUCGGUGAGGUGAUAUGAACCGUUAUAACCGGCGAUUUCCGAAUGGGGAAACCCAGUGUGUUUCGACACACUAUCAUUAACUGAAUCCAUAGGUUAAUGAGGCGAACCGGGGGAACUGAAACAUCUAAGUACCCCGAGGAAAAGAAAUCAACCGAGAUUCCCCCAGUAGCGGCGAGCGAACGGGGAGCAGCCCAGAGCCUGAAUCAGUGUGUGUGUUAGUGGAAGCGUCUGGAAAGGCGCGCGAUACAGGGUGACAGCCCCGUACACAAAAAUGCACAUACUGUGAGCUCGAUGAGUAGGGCGGGACACGUGGUAUCCUGUCUGAAUAUGGGGGGACCAUCCUCCAAGGCUAAAUACUCCUGACUGACCGAUAGUGAACCAGUACCGUGAGGGAAAGGCGAAAAGAACCCCGGCGAGGGGAGUGAAAAAGAACCUGAAACCGUGUACGUACAAGCAGUGGGAGCCUCUUAAUGGGGUGACUGCGUACCUUUUGUAUAAUGGGUCAGCGACUUAUAUUCUGUAGCAAGGUUAACCGAAUAGGGGAGCCGAAGGGAAACCGAGUCUUAACUGGGCGUUAAGUUGCAGGGUAUAGACCCGAAACCCGGUGAUCUAGCCAUGGGCAGGUUGAAGGUUGGGUAACACUAACUGGAGGACCGAACCGACUAAUGUUGAAAAAUUAGCGGAUGACUUGUGGCUGGGGGUGAAAGGCCAAUCAAACCGGGAGAUAGCUGGUUCUCCCCGAAAGCUAUUUAGGUAGCGCCUCGUGAAUUCAUCUCCGGGGGUAGAGCACUGUUUCGGCAAGGGGGUCAUCCCGACUUACCAACCCGAUGCAAACUGCGAAUACCGGAGAAUGUUAUCACGGGAGACACACGGCGGGUGCUAACGUCCGUCGUGAAGAGGGAAACAACCCAGACCGCCAGCUAAGGUCCCAAAGUCAUGGUUAAGUGGGAAACGAUGUGGGAAGGCCCAGACAGCCAGGAUGUUGGCUUAGAAGCAGCCAUCAUUUAAAGAAAGCGUAAUAGCUCACUGGUCGAGUCGGCCUGCGCGGAAGAUGUAACGGGGCUAAACCAUGCACCGAAGCUGCGGCAGCGACGCUUAUGCGUUGUUGGGUAGGGGAGCGUUCUGUAAGCCUGUGAAGGUGUACUGUGAGGUAUGCUGGAGGUAUCAGAAGUGCGAAUGCUGACAUAAGUAACGAUAAAGCGGGUGAAAAGCCCGCUCGCCGGAAGACCAAGGGUUCCUGUCCAACGUUAAUCGGGGCAGGGUGAGUCGACCCCUAAGGCGAGGCCGAAAGGCGUAGUCGAUGGGAAACAGGUUAAUAUUCCUGUACUUGGUGUUACUGCGAAGGGGGGACGGAGAAGGCUAUGUUGGCCGGGCGACGGUUGUCCCGGUUUAAGCGUGUAGGCUGAUUUUCCAGGCAAAUCCGGAAAACUAAGGCUGAGGCGUGAUGACGAGGCACUACGGUGCUGAAGCAACAAAUGCCCUGCUUCCAGGAAAAGCCUCUAAGCAUCAGGUAACAUCAAAUCGUACCCCAAACCGACACAGGUGGUCAGGUAGAGAAUACCAAGGCGCUUGAGAGAACUCGGGUGAAGGAACUAGGCAAAAUGGUGCCGUAACUUCGGGAGAAGGCACGCUGAUAUGUAGGUGAAGUCCCUCGCGGAUGGAGCUGAAAUCAGUCGAAGAUACCAGCUGGCUGCAACUGUUUAUUAAAAACACAGCACUGUGCAAACACGAAAGUGGACGUAUACGGUGUGACGCCUGCCCGGUGCCGGAAGGUUAAUUGAUGGGGUUAGCGGUAACGCGAAGCUCUUGAUCGAAGCCCCGGUAAACGGCGGCCGUAACUAUAACGGUCCUAAGGUAGCGAAAUUCCUUGUCGGGUAAGUUCCGACCUGCACGAAUGGCGUAAUGAUGGCCAGGCUGUCUCCACCCGAGACUCAGUGAAAUUGAACUCGCUGUGAAGAUGCAGUGUACCCGCGGCAAGACGGAAAGACCCCGUGAACCUUUACUAUAGCUUGACACUGAACAUUGAGCCUUGAUGUGUAGGAUAGGUGGGAGGCUUUGAAGUGUGGACGCCAGUCUGCAUGGAGCCGGCCUUGAAAUACCACCCUUUAAUGUUUGAUGUUCUAACGUUGGCCCCUGAUCGGGGUUGCGGACAGUGUCUGGUGGGUAGUUUGACUGGGGCGGUCUCCUCCUAAAGAGUAACGGAGGAGCACGAAGGUUGGCUAAUCCUGGUCGGACAUCAGGAGGUUAGUGCAAUGGCAUAAGCCAGCUUGACUGCGAGCGUGACGGCGCGAGCAGGUGCGAAAGCAGGUCAUAGUGAUCCGGUGGUUCUGAAUGGAAGGGCCAUCGCUCAACGGAUAAAAGGUACUCCGGGGAUAACAGGCUGAUACCGCCCAAGAGUUCAUAUCGACGGCGGUGUUUGGCACCUCGAUGUCGGCUCAUCACAUCCUGGGGCUGAAGUAGGUCCCAAGGGUAUGGCUGUUCGCCAUUUAAAGUGGUACGCGAGCUGGGUUUAGAACGUCGUGAGACAGUUCGGUCCCUAUCUGCCGUGGGCGCUGGAGAACUGAGGGGGGCUGCUCCUAGUACGAGAGGACCGGAGUGGACGCAUCACUGGUGUUCGGGUUGUCAUGCCAAUGGCACUGCCCGGUAGCUAAAUGCGGAAGAGAUAAGUGCUGAAAGCAUCUAAGCACGAAACUUGCCCCGAGAUGAGUUCUCCCUGACUCCUUGAGAGUCCUGAAGGAACGUUGAAGACGACGACGUUGAUAGGCCGGGUGUGUAAGCGCAGCGAUGCGUUGAGCUAACCGGUACUAAUGAACCGUGAGGCUUAACCUU